CUGUGUGUGUGUGUGUGUAUGUGUAUGGACUCAGCAGUCUGUGUGUGUAUGAACUCACACAGACUGCUGAGUCCAUACACACACACACAGACUG